rnacentral:rRNA from 1 species
GUGGGGAAUAUUGGACAAUGGGCGAAAGCCUGAUCCAGCCAUGCCGCGUGUGUGAAGAAGGUCUUCGGAUUGUAAAGCACUUUAAGUUGGGAGGAAGGGCAGUAAGUUAAUACCUUGCUGUUUUGACGUUACCGACAGAAUAAGCACCGGCUAACUUCGUGCCAGCAGCCGCGGUAAUACGAAGGGUGCAAGCGUUAAUCGGAAUUACUGGGCGUAAAGCGCGCGUAGGUGGUUUUGUAAGUUGGAGGUGAAAUCCCCGGGCUCAAACUGGGAACUGCCUCCAAAACUGCAUGACUAGAGUACGGUAGAGGGUAGUGGAAUUUCCUGUGUAGCGGUGAAAUGCGUAGAUAUAGGAAGGAACACCAGUGGCGAAGGCGACUACCUGGACUGAUACUGACACUGAGGUGCGAAAGCGUGGGGAGCAAACAGGAUUAGAUACCCGUGUAGUCC